UACGAAGGGUGCAAACGUUGCUCGGAAUCAUUGGGCGUAAAGCGCACGUAGGCGGCGCUGCAAGUCGGACGUGAAAUCCCUCGGCUCAACCGAGGACGUGCAUCCGAAACUGCAGUGCUCGAGUAUGGAAGAGGGUCGCGGAAUUCUCGGUGUAGAGGUGAAAUUCGUAGAUAUCGGGGAGGAACACCUGUGGCGAAGGCGGCCAUCUGGACGGUAACUGACGCUGAGACGCGAAAGCGUGGGUAGCAAACAGG
rnacentral:rRNA from 1 species